rnacentral:rRNA from 1 species
UACGUAGGGGGCAAGCGUUGUCCGGAUUUAUUGGGCGUAAAGCGCUCGCAGGUGGUUCGAUGCGUCGUGCGUGAAAGCCCCCGGCUCAACUGGGGAGUGUCGUGCGAUACGGUCGGACUGGAGGCCAGUAGGGGGAUGCGGAAUUCCGGGUGUAGUGGUGGAAUGCGUAGAGAUCGGCAGGAACACCCAGGGGGAAACCAGUCGACUGGGCAUCUACUGACGCUGAGGUGCGGAGAGCGUGGGGAGCGAACGGG